GGGCCCGCACAAGCGGUGGAGCAUGUGGUUUAAUUCGACGCAACGCGAAGAACCUUACCAGGGCUUGACAUCCACAGAAUACUUAGGAAACUAGGUAGUGCCCUUCGGGGAGCUGUGAGACAGGUGGUGCAUGGUUGUCGUCAGCUCGUGUCGUGAGAUGUUGGGUUAAGUCCCGCAACGAGCGCAACCCCUAUCUUUAGUUGCUAACGAGUAGUGUCGAGCACUCUAGAGAGACUGCCGGUGACAAACCGGAGGAAGGUGGGGAUGACGUCAAAUCAUCAUGCCCCUUAUGUCCUGGGCUACACACGUGCUACAAUGGCCGGUACAGACGGUUGCGAAGCUGUGAAGUGGAGCUAAUCCGAGAAAGCCGGUCUCAGUUCGGAUUGUAGGCUGCAACUCGCCUACAUGAAGUCGGAAUCGCUAGUAAUCGCAGGUCAGCAUACUGCGGUGAAUACGUUCCCGGGCCUU
rnacentral:rRNA from 1 species